AGCCAAUACAGCCCAGUACGCUCACUACGUUUUCAAUACACUGGACCAAGAUCGAAGUGGAUUGCUGAGUUUUGAGGAGUUCGUCACUGGCCUGUCUGUAUUAUCAAGAGGAACUUUAGAAGAGAAAUUAAGAUGGACAUUCUCACUGUACGAUAUUAACGGUGAUGGAUAUAUAACUAAAGAGGAAAUGACUGAGAUUGUAACGGCAAUUUAUGAUCUAAUGGGUAAAAUUGUAGAACCAAUGAUUGACGACGAAGCUGUACGAGAAAAAGUCGAAAGAUUAUUUCAGAAAAUGGAUUUAAACCGCGACGGCGUGCUGACUCUGGACGAGUUCCUAGACUGCUGCCUGCGAGACGAGGAAAUCACUCGCUCUAUGGGAGUGUUCGACAGCAACUUCUGACGCCCCGCAGCAGCGCGCGCGCGACGCCGCGCUUCGUAGGGCGCCGCGAUCAGGAUACAGCGAGCAAGCUUAGGGGCCAUCCAUAAAUUACGUCACACCUAGAGGUAGGGGGUCCACAAAGUGACAUUAUGUGACAAAGGGUGGGUAUACAAAAUUUUGUCACAUCACAUUUCAAAAUAUAAUAUACAUAUAUAUAAUUGUUAGUAUUAAAAUAAUUUUAUAUUUCAUGAGUAUGGUGGAUUAUGCAUGACGUAACACUAGGGGGGGGGUCUCAUAAAUGUGACCAUCUGUGACAAAGACGGGAAAGGUUAAAAAAGUCGUGGAAUUCGUGUGACAUUAUUUAUGGAUGACCCCUUAUAUGUUACCGUUUUAUUGUGAACAUUAACAUUAUAAUCUGUACAGUAAGAACGCCAAAUUGUGAUCUUAAAUUUUACAUCAGUGAUUUUAAAUUGUCUUUUGACUUAAAAAGUUUUACAAAUAAUCUAAUACAAUCUGUCUUUUCUUCGUCAAUUUCUGAUGGUAUAAAUUUUUAAGGAUGUACACAACAAUACAGUGACAUUUAUACUGCUCAACGU
rnacentral:misc_RNA from 1 species